rnacentral:tRNA from 1 species
GGGGUAAUAGUUAAUAAUAACAUUUAAUUUGCACUUAAAAAGUAUUGUCUUAAACAAUUUACCUUA